ACAGGCGGUUAAAAUAGUAGAGCAGUAGCUUCCAGGUUCGUUUUAUGCCGACGACAUUGUGUUGCUAGCUAACAAGCGGAGUGUUAUGCAACGCCUGGAGAAUAUAUGUGCACAUGAAGGUAAGAAUUUAACAUUUGAAAUUUAGCGUUAGGAAAUCAGCUUUUAUGGUAAACAGUACUCAAUGAAAACAGUGAACAGACAGUAUCAAUACAGGGCCAGGAAAUACCUCGAGUAAAAGAACACAAAUACCUCAGUAUACACUUAAAAAAAAUCCACGCUUAAUCUCACGCUAAACUGUGAGUUUUAGCGUGACGCGCAUGUAAAUGAGGGGCGGACAAAGACAAUUGCACACGGUAAUAACAGGUGUACAAUAAUGAACAAGUACAAAGGGAAACAAAACAAGAUUAUACAAUAUUUAUGCAAUACUCCCAAAAAAGAAAACAGAACCUACAUGCUAACGUGCAUAGCACCCAAAGUACUGUUCGACUCACUGAAGAGGUCAAAAUUAUUGUUUACAUAAGCUAUAUACAUAUUCGUAUAGAGCUACCAAUCCCUCCAAAAUAUUACACAGACGCACGCACGCACGCACGUGCACAGCACACACGCCAAAAGGAAACGGCGACGCGCUCACAGGAAGCGCCUGACAAAAAAAAAAAGGAAAAGUGUGGGGAACCGAGGUCGUUUGCGCUGUCGCAUCUCCCUCUCCCAGAAGGAAUGAAGAGGUUCUUGGAAAGCAGGGACGGGCGAUUCUCUCUGUCAGCAUCAGCUCCCACCAGCGAGGACGGGGCGAGAAAGCGAAGCGGGACUUUCCUUGCUGUCUAUUUUUUCUUCGUCACGCUCAACGCCGGCUGCCCGCAGGGGCGCAGGCGAGUUCCCGCCAAAUGGCGCGGGGGCGCAAGCAGUUGCGUGAGUUGCCGCCAAAUGCUAGCUCUGGAUGCCAGCUCGUUCCGCGUCUCUUGGUAGACUAGUUGGUGCAUUUCUGUUAUCAUGGACUGCGCAUAGAAACGCAAACUACACAAAAGUGACAUGGACAAAAACAGCGCAAGCCCUUUCCAUGCAGUGGAGCCGCCGUAUCUCGCCGUUCAAGAUAUGCGUACUCGAAACACUGGAACGACACUGCUUAAAUUGAAGCACAGUGUGCGAAUGACCUGCUACGCUCGGAACUGUCGCCACCAUUCGGGAAGAAAUCAGAUGAAAAAACAAAACUGUAUAUGCCUGUACGAUAUACGUCUGGUGCAUUGCAGGUAAGAAUGGAUUGUGUGUGGCACAUCUCCGCAUGUGAACUAGAGUAGAUCUAGGAACAUCAGACAAGAAGCCGCGUAUGUGAAACCCUGCGGAUAGCCCAUAUACCACGAUAACCACGUAUUUGGAUGUCUGGUUUAGCUCUACAUGCGCUGGUUCGUGCAGGUGAACUUUUUUUCGAGAUACGGAGGAACGGACAUCGGUCAUGCCGUGCGCACUCUUCUGCAGGGCAUACUUACAAAUGAAGCUGCACUGCAGUUCAGCUGGAAAGGGUCGCAGGGGAGGAAGCACGCCUUCGUGAAGCUCCCGGCCAUCACGAAUCUCAUUCUAACAUCUGUGAGGAGCACCUUCCCAGACGCUUCACUGGCUUCAGUGGCUGGAGUCACGAAACGCUGGUUAGUCGGAGCAGCUGACAGGGAUGGAGGCCGGAACGAGAGAAGGCGUCGUGACCCCGCUUCAAGCCCACCAUGAACUAGCAUUUGAAACUUUUGUGAACGUGUGGGUGUAUACAUAUCCAAGACAAAUACAAGAAAUAAAGACCUGUAUAAGAACA